UACGUAGGUGGCGAGCGUUGUCCGGCUUUACUGGGCGUAAAGAGCGCGCAGGCGGUCGUCCAAGUCGCGUGUGAAAGCCCCCGGCUCAACUGGGGAGGGUCACGCGAUACUGAUCGACUCGAAGGCAGGAGAGGGAAGCGGAAUUCCCGGUGUAGUGGUGGAAUGCGUAGAUAUUGGGAAGAACACCGGUGGCGAAGGCGGCGACCUGGUCCGAUACUGACGCUGAGGCGCGAAAGCGUGGGGAGCAAACAGG
rnacentral:rRNA from 1 species